rfam:Cylindrobasidium torrendii FP15055 ss-10 unplaced genomic scaffold CYLTOscaffold_78, whole genome shotgun sequence.
GGCCGCGUGGCGAAAUGGUUACCGCGUUGCUUUCCGACGUCUGCUCAGGAAUCUGUAGGCAGAGAUUGUGGGUUCGAUCCCCGCCGUGGUCU